AUUGAACGCUGGCGGCAGGCUUAACACAUGCAAGUCGAGCGGGGGAAGGUAGCUUGCUACUGGACCUAGCGGCGGACGGGUGAGUAAUGCUUAGGAAUCUGCCUAUUAGUGGGGGACAACAUCUCGAAAGGGAUGCUAAUACCGCAUACGUCCUACGGGAGAAAGCAGGGGAUCUUCGGACCUUGCGCUAAUAGAUGAGCCUAAGUCGGAUUAGCUAGUUGGUGGGGUAAAGGCCUACCAAGGCGACGAUCUGUAGCGGGUCCGAGAGGAUGACCCGCCACACUGGGACUGAGACACGGCCCAGACUCCUACGGGAGGCAGCAGUGGGGAAUAUUGGACAAUGGGGGGAACCCUGAUCCAGCCAUGCCGCGUGUGUGAAGAAGGCCUUAUGGUUGUAAAGCACUUUAAGCGAGGAGGAGGCUACUUUAGUUAAUACCUAGAGAUAGUGGACGUUACUCGCAGAAUAAGCACCGGCUAACUCUGUGCCAGCCGCCGCGGUAA
rnacentral:rRNA from 1 species